UGAUGCUCUUUCAUUCAUCUCAGUUCAGACUGGACACCAUCUUCAGAGGUGAGAGAAACUGAUUGAGAUAAACUCUGUGUUGAACUGAAUCUUGUGUGAAUCUUCAAGUGAAUCAUGAUGAUUGUGAAUGUGUUUUUCAGUGAGGAAUGAAACUGCAGCGACUCCAAACUCAGGUGAGUUUCAGCUGAUAAACGUCUGAUUAUUCACUAAUAAAACACUGCAGAUCUAAUCCACUUUCACUCUUUUCUGUCAUAUUGACUCAUAUUUGCGAUCACUGUGAAGAUCUCCUGAAUGAAGUGAGUCCAGAUCUCCAUCAUUCAGUAGAUCACUUCUGGUGGCUUUUGGCUGUUUUCAUCAUUGUUCUUCUCAUCAUCUUCUUGAUCCGUAAAAGGAUCUUCAGGUGAGUCGUGAUCAAUCUUAAAGAAUCGUUAAGUCUCACUCUAUAUUUCAUCAUGAAUCACAUUUCUCUUCAUCUUCAGAUUACUGAAUCUAUCAGUCUGAAUGAACUCAGAGUCUGUGCUGGAUGUGAUAAUAUGUAAUAAUCAGAUUCAAUCUGUUGUCAGAUGUUUUCAGAGGUUCAUCUGUCAGCGUGACGAUGAUGAUUCAGAAAACAGGGAUCCUGAAGCUGCUGUCCAAAUGAUCUGAUGCUCCUGAUUCACUGAAUCAAUCUGAAUCUGAACAGUUAAACGGCUCCCUGUCCAGGGUUUGAAUCGACUCCUUAUUUACUCAAACUCAGGGCUUAACGUCACUGUGAUCUUUGACAUGAAGAUGAAGGAAGUUUGUGUUCAUUCUGAGCUUCUCGACAGAUUUAUUCUCCAUCAUCUGCAUCUGUAAUUCAAAUAAAUACAUGAAAUGGAAAAACACUGGAAGAUCAAUUCAACCAGAUUGACAAGUGACCAAAGUGUUGUUUUAUUUAUUUUGUUCAUCAUUUAUAAUCAGUCACAUUUACUCUUUUAAU
rnacentral:lncRNA from 12 species